rnacentral:rRNA from 1 species
GACGUAGGGUGCAAGCGUUGUCCGGAUUUAUUGGGCGUAAAGAGCUCGUAGGCGGCUUGUUGCGUCGACUGUGAAAACCCGCGGCUUAACCGCGGGCUUGCAGUUGAUACGGGCAGGCUAGAGUUCGGUAGGGGAGACUGGAAUUCCUGGUGUAGCGGUGAAAUGCGCAGAUAUCAGGAGGAACACCGGUGGCGAAGGCGGGUCUCUGGGCAAUAACUGACGCUGAGGAGCGAAAGCGUGGGGAGCGAACAGG